AUUUCAACUGAUGCUGUCUCUCACCGUUGCCAAAUUCCUUACUGCUUUGGUUUCAUGUGCAACUGCAAUAACACUUUUGACUUUGAUUCCUCUUCUUCUCAAAUGGAAAGUAAGAGAGCUUUUCUUGAAGCAAAAUGUGUUGGAAUUAGACCAAGAAGUUGGUAUCAUGAAAAAGCAGAAGGAAGCGAGUUUGCAUGUCCGAAUGCUAACCCAGGAAAUCAGGAAGUCCCUCGAUAAGCAUACCAUAUUGUAUACAACUUUGGUUGAGCUUUCUAAGACUUUGGAUUUGCAUAAUUGUGCUGUAUGGAUGCCAAAUGAGAAUAGAACAGAGAUGAAUCUCACCCAUGAGUUAAAACCAAGUUCUAAACGUUAUCACGCUUCUAUUCCUGUCAAUGACCCGGAUGUGUUAGAGAUAAAAGAUGCCAAUGGGGUAAAGAUUUUGAGGCCAGAUUCGGCACUUGGGGUGGCAAGUGGUGGUGGUACUGAAGAGGCAGGUGCUUUGGCAGCAAUUCGGAUGCCAAUGCUUCAGGUUUCAAAUUUCAAAGGUGGC
rnacentral:misc_RNA from 1 species